AGAUGGCGUCGGAGCGCGAACCGCGCCAGCUGUUGAGCAGUGUCUGCAGCGGUGCCCGGGGGCUGCUUGGCGCACGUUACGCCGUCCUGGCCGUGGCGGACAAGAAUCGACCCAACGGAGUCAUCGUGUGCGUCAGCGGUCAGGCACCGCGACCCGUCGCUGGCGUGAUGGAUCCGCGCGAAGAUACCGGUAUUCUCGGCACGGUCUUCGAGCAGCGGCGUUCGCUGCGGCUCGCAAGCAACGAUGGAGCACCACUCGCACUUGGGUUGCCUGCCGGCUUCCCGCCGGUCAGGUCGGCGGUCGCUGUUCCCGUCUGUUCCCUCACCCGCACCUAUGGCUGGCUGUGCCUGGGCGAGAAGCUUGGCGCCACGGAAUUCAGCAGCGAAGACGAGCGGUUGCUCACCAUUCUCGCGGCGCAGCUUGGCCGCAUCUAUGAAAACGGCAGCCUCUACCGCGAAGUGCAGGAACAGGCGACCCAGCUGAUGGUCGAAGUGGACGAGCGCAGUCGCGCGGUGGAGCAGUUGAAAAUCAGUGAGGAGCGCUUCCGGCAGCUGGCUGAAAACAUCCAGGAUGUGUUCUUCGUUGCUUCACCGGAUCUGGCGACCUUCCAAUACGUCAGCCCGGGCUUCGACAAGAUCUGGGGGAGGCCCGUCAGCGAGCAGAAAUUCGACAAUGGCGCCUGGGUGCAGAGCAUUCAUCCCGCCGAUCGCGACCGGGCCGCUGUUGAAGUGGCUGCUAUCAUCG
rnacentral:misc_RNA from 1 species